rnacentral:rRNA from 1 species
AUUGAACGCUGGCGGCAGGCUUAACACAUGCAAGUCGAGCGGAGAUGAGGUGCUUGCACCUUAUCUUAGCGGCGGACGGGUGAGUAAUGCUUAGGAAUCUGCCUAUUAGUGGGGGACAACAUUCCGAAAGGAAUGCUAAUACCGCAUACGUCCUACGGGAGAAAGCAGGGGAUCUUCGGACCUUGCGCUAAUAGAUGAGCCUAAGUCGGAUUAGCUAGUUGGUGGGGUAAAGGCCUACCAAGGUGACGAUCUGUAGCGGGUCUGAGAGGAUGAUCCGCCACACUGGGACUGAGACACGGCCGAGAAUCCUACGGGAGGCAGCAGUGGGGAAUAUUGGACAAUGGGGGGAACCCUGAUCCAGCCAUGCCGCGUGUGUGAAGAAGGCCUUAUGGUUGUAAAGCACUUUAAGCGAGGAGGAGGCUACUGAGACUAAUACUCUUGGAUAGUGGACGUUACUCACAGAAUAAGCACCGGCUAACUCUGUGCCAGCCGCCGCCGUAA